GAUAAACGCUGGCGGCGCACAUAAGACAUGCAAGUUGAACGGACUUAAUCGAAAAAUUUAUAUUUUGAAGCGGUUAGUGGCGGACUGGUGAGUAACGCGUAAGGAACCUGCCUAUUAGAGGGGAAUAACAGUGAGAAAUCAUUGCUAAUACCGCAUAUGCCAUAGAUAUCACAUGAUAACAGUGGGAAAGGAGCAAUCCGCUAAUAGAUGGCCUUGCGUCUGAUUAGAUAGUUGGUGGGGUAACGGCCUACCAAGUCGACGAUCAGUAGCCGGACUGAGAGGUUGAACGGCCACAUUGGGACUGAGAUACGGCCCAGACUCCUACGGGAGGCAGCAGUCGGGAAUAUUGCGCAAUGGAGGAAACUCUGACGCAGUGACGCCGCGUAUAGGAAGAAGGUUUUCGGAUUGUAAACUAUUGUCGUUAGGGAAGAGAAAGGACAGUACCUAAGGAGGAAGCUCCGGCUAACUACGUG
rnacentral:rRNA from 1 species